rnacentral:rRNA from 1 species
AUUGAACGCUGGCGGCAUGCCUUACACAUGCAAGUCGAACGGUAACGGGCCUUCGGGUGCCGACGAGUGGCGAACGGGUGAGUAAUGUAUCGGAACGUACCUUUCAGUGGGGGAUAACGUAGCGAAAGUUACGCUAAUACCGCAUAUUCUGUGAGCAGGAAAGCAGGGGAUCGCAAGACCUUGCGCUGAUUGAGCGGCCGAUAUCAGAUUAGCUAGUUGGUGAGGUAAAGGCUCACCAAGGCGACGAUCUGUAGCGGGUCUGAGAGGAUGAUCCGCCACACUGGAACUGAGGCACGGUCCAGACUCCUACGGGAGGCAGCAGUGGGGAAUUUUGGACAAUGGGGGCAACCCUGAUCCAGCCAUGCCGCGUGAGUGAAGAAGGCCUUCGGGUUGUAAAGCUCUUUCGGCCGGGAAGAAAUCGUAUCAGCUAAUACCUGGUGCGGAUGACGGUACCGGCAUAAGAAGCACCGGCUAACUACGUGCCAGCAGCCGCAGUAAUAC